rnacentral:misc_RNA from 1 species
AACGCACAUUGCGCCCCCUCUAACCGGGGGGCAUGCCUGUCCGAGCGUCAUUUGUACCCAAUGGACAGUCUUCUGUUCGUGUUGGGCCUCGUCCGGCCGGACGUAGCCUCGAAGAAAUGGGCCCUGUGAGCGGAUGAGAUCCCCGAUGGACUGACCGUUUGUGGGUGCCCGAACUCCUCCAGUGUGGACCUCGGAUCAGGUAGGACUACCGCCUGAACUUAA